rnacentral:sRNA from 1 species
GGGGUGCGCUUCCCCGGGCGGGGCGCGGAGCCCGCCGUCUCGGAAGCCGCGGCUCGGCCCGGCACUGCGGAGGGCCGCUUGAUUUCCCGGAACCCAGGUCGCGCGGCUGCUAGGGCCGGAGCCGGUGGAUCCGAGCGGGUGCCACCAGCGGCGGCGCGCCGCCUCCCCCGGUGGGAGCGGUGGUUGGGCCAGGCUGCGGCAGAGCGUUCGCUCGGAGAUGGCGGAGCAGCCGCGACGCGGCCCGUGGCCCCGAAAGCAGGGAAGCCGGGCAGCCCCGGGACGCGGCGGAGCCCGGGGACAGCGGGGACGCCGCCCAGUCCUCCGGGUAUGAAGCUAAAAUGCAGCGGCUAAGAACGCGGCUCUGGAGCUUGACAGGCCUGACGUCGAAUCCCAGCCCUCCCACCAACUGAGCUGUGUGAUCCUGGGCAAGGUUCUAAGCUUCUCUGAGUUACUCAUAUGUGAAAUGGGGAUAAUGGAGCAUGUACCUUUUCCCUACCUCUUAGGGCUGGUGUGAAGAUUAAAUAUAUGUGAAGCUCUUAGAAGAA